GACGAACGCUGGCGGCGUGCCUAAUACAUGCGAGUUGAGCGAUGAAGCUUGGUGCUUGCACCAAUUUGAAGAGCAGCGAACGGGUGAGUAACGCGUGGGGAAUCUGCCUUUGAGCGGGGGACAACAUUUGGAAACGAAUGCUAAUACCGCAUAACAACUUUAAACAUAAGUUUUAAGUUUGAAAGAUGCAAUUGCAUCACUCAAAGAUGAUCCCGCGUUGUAUUAGCUAGUUGGUGAGGUAAAGGCUCACCAAGGCGAUGAUACAUAGCCGACCUGAGAGGGUGAUCGGCCACAUUGGGACUGAGACACGGCCCAAACUCCUACGGGAGGCAGCAGUAGGGAAUCUUCGGCAAUGGACGAAAGUCUGACCGAGCAACGCCGCGUGAGUGAAGAAGGGUUUCGGAUCGUAAAACUCUGUUGGUAGAGAAGAACGUUGGUGAGAGUGGAAAGCUCAUCAAGUGACGGUAACUACCCAGAAAGGGACGGCUAACUACGUG
rnacentral:rRNA from 1 species